GUCGAGCGGAUUGAUGGGAGCUUGCUCCCAUCAGUCAGCGGCGGACGCGGUGAGUAACACGUGGGUAACCUGCCUGUAAGACUGGGAUAACUCCGGGAAACCGGGGCUAAUACCGGAUAACUCAUUUCCUCGCAUGAGGAAAUGUUGAAAGGUGGCUUUUAGCUAUCACUUACAGAUGGACCCGCGGCGCAUUAGCUAGUUGGUGAGGUAACGGCUCACCAAGGCGACGAUGCGUAGCCGACCUGAGAGGGUGAUCGGCCACACUGGGACUGAGACACGGCCCAGACUCCUACGGGAGGCAGCAGUAGGGAAUCUUCCGCAAUGGACGAAAGUCUGACGGAGCAACGCCGCGUGAGUGAUGAAGGUUUUCGGAUCGUAAAACUCUGUUGUUAGGGAAGAACAAGUACCGUUCGAAUAGGGCGGUACCUUGACGGUACCUAACCAGAAAGCCACGGCUAACUACGUGCCAGCAGCCGCGGUAAUACGUAGGUGGCAAGCGUUGUCCGGAAUUAUUGGGCGUAAAGCGCGCGCAGGUGGUUUCUUAAGUCUGAUGUGAAAGCCCACGGCUCAACCGUGGAGGGUCAUUGGAAACUGGGGAACUUGAGUGCAGAAGAGGAAAGUGGAAUUCCAAGUGUAGCGGUGAAAUGCGUAGAUAUUUGGAGGAACACCAGUGGCGAAAGGCGACUUUCUGGUCUGUAACUGACACUGAGGCGCGAAAGCGUGGGGGAGCAAACAGGAUUAGAUACCCUGGUAGUCCACGCCGUAAACGAUGAGUGCUAGUGUUAGGGGGGUUUUCCGCCCCUUAGUGCUGCAGCUAAACGCAUUAAGCACUCCCGCCUGGGGGAGUACGGUCGCCAGGACUGA
rnacentral:rRNA from 1 species